UCCAUCUCCGGCGCCGUGUACAGCAGGCGGGGGCGGCCCAAACCCGCCCUGCCCACCGAGGAGGUGCAGGCCAUCCUGAGAGCAGUGCAGCAUUACUUCCCCGGGAAGACGGACGCGAAGAUUAAGGGCUACAUCCGGCAGAAGCUGCAGAAGGAGGCAAAGCGGCUGAGGAAGGGGCCACACCCCCUGGUGAAGACGGAGGAGGGCGCGGCGCCCGAGGGGGCGGACGCAGUCACGCACAGGGGCGGAGCAUCGCCACGACAACCGGCGCAGACCUCUGGCAGCGGCAGGGCGGCAGCCGCGACCCGCCACGCCCACGCUGUGCGGACUGUCCUGGAGAAACCGUGCAAACGUGAAUUCCAGGUGCGUCGCCGCGGGAAACGGACGUGUUUCAGAAACCGGACAGGUGGAGUUCUGUCGGGGCCAAGUUUCUGCUCAGUCUAAUGUAGACGAAAACAUCCCGUCCCCAACCCGUAACCCUGCCCUGAUUAUUUGAAGGGUUGUCUUUGAGUGAGGAGUGAACUUGUCUAUUUCGUGUGAAAUCAGAGGAAAGGGUGUUUGUGAGAGAUGAUGUGUGUUAGUAGCGCAGUGAUGGGGCCGGUGGUUAAGCUGUUUUCAGUGUAGCUCAUUAGUUCUUAUGCCCUUGUGGUCCUCAUGAACUAAACUAGCUUUCGUUCCUUUUUUGUACUGAAUCAUGUUCUUACUAAUUAAAAUGGCGGUUUGGUUUUCACAAGU